AGCUCCAAUAGCGUAUAUUAAAGUUGUUGUGGUUAAAAAGCUCGUAGUUGGAUCUCGGGAGCAGGCGUGCGGUCCGCCUCGCGGCGGUAUCACUGCGCGCUCCUGCCCUACAUCUGCCGGACGUCCCCCGGUGCCCUUCGCUGGGUGCCGGGGGUGGCCGGGACGUUUACUUUGAAAAAAUUAGAGUGUUCAAAGCAGGCAUUUCGCCCUGAAUAAUGGUGCAUGGAAUAAUGGAAUAGGACCUCGGUUCUAUUUUGUUGGUUUCCGGAGCUCGAGGUAAUGAUUAAGAGGGACGGCCGGGGGCAUUUGUAUUGCGGCGUUAGAGGUGAAAUUCUUGGAUCGUCGCAAGACAGACCACAGCGAAAGCAUUUGCCAAGAAUGUUUUCA
rnacentral:rRNA from 1 species